UACGUAGGGUCCGAGCGUUUGUCCGGAAUUACUGGGCGUAAAGAGCUCGUAGGUGGUUUGUCGCGUUGUUCGUGAAAACUCACAGCUUAACUGUGGGCGUGCGGGCGAUACGGGCAGACUUGAGUACUGCAGGGGAGACUGGAAUUCCUGGUGUAGCGGUGGAAUGCGCAGAUAUCAGGAGGAGCACCGGUGGCGAAGGCGGGUCUCUGGGCAUUACCUGACGCUGAGGAGCGAAAGUGUGGGGAGCGAACAGG
rnacentral:rRNA from 1 species